rnacentral:RNase_P_RNA from 19 species
CGAGUUGGCCAGACAGUCGCCGCGUUCUUCGGAACGGGGAGGAAAGUCCGGGCUCCACAGAGCAGGGUGCCAGGUAACGCCUGGGCGGUGCGAACCGACGACAAGUGCAGCAGAGAGGAGACCGCCAUUUUAAGCUUCGGCUAUAAAUGGUAAGGGUGAAAGGGUGCGGUAAGAGCGCACCGUGCGGCUAGUAAUAGUCCGUAGCAAGGUAAACUCCACCCGGAGCAAGACCAAAUAGGGUUCCAGUGCUUACUUAGGUAAGCUGAUGCGUGGCUCGCGUUGGAACCGGGUAGGUUGCUUGAGCCUGUGAGCGAUUGCAGGCCUAGAUGAAUGACUGUCGCUCCUCACGGAGAGACAAGACCCGGCUUAUAGGCCAACUCACCUC